rnacentral:misc_RNA from 1 species
CAAAAGCCCAUAUAAGGAGAAGAAGGGAGGAGACUUGACUGGGUGAAAAAAGAAAAGAAAAACUAGUUGAUGAAGCAAGGAAGCUCAACUGAAAUUAUUACACAACAUGGGUCUAUAAAAGCCCAAAGGUGCUAGGCUGUUGCUUCAUUGCGUAAUUGAAGAGAAAUAAUUGUUUAUAUUUCGCAUACAAGUACUGAAAUGAGGCUAAUUAAGCAGCUGUUGGUUGCUUUAGUAAUAGCUUCAUUAUUAGAGGGAUGGUGGAGCUGUGAUGGUUGUUUGGAGAAUGAGAGAAAUGCUCUUUUGCAACUCAGGGCUUCUUUCAAUCAUCCUGAAGGCAUAUCACUCUUCUCUUGGGGAUUACAUACUGAUGACUGUUGUAAAUGGGAAAAUAUUCACUGCAGCUCCACCACUGGACGAGUUUCCAAACUCAGUAUUCGGGGCAAUAUUUUGUACCUUAGAGAAUGGUGCUUCAAUGCCUCUUUGUUUCUUCCUUUUCAAGAAUUGACGAGUCUUAGCUUACAAAACAAUCAUAUUAUUGAUUGUGUUGAGAAUGAAGGUUUUGAAAAAUUGCAAAGGCUCAGCGAGUUGGAGUUUCUUGAUUUAGAAAGUAACCAUUUCAACAACAAGAGCAUUGUAUCAUCUAUUGGCCAUCUUUCACAUUUAAAAUCAUUGAAUUUGGUCAACAAUGGAUUGGAAAGUGUAACUGAUAUUCAAGGACUAUCAGGACUUGAAAAUUUGGAGUUUCUUGAUUUGUCAUACAACAACUUCAACGAUAGUAUCAUACCAUCUUUAAGUGUCUUUCCAUCUUUAAAAUCAUUAAAUUUAGCCUACAACAGAUUGGAAAGUGGAACUAAUUUUCAAGGGCUAUCAAAACUUGAAAAAUUGGAGUUUCUUGAUUUGUCAUGCAACAAGUUCAACAGUGGUAUCACACCAUUUUGUAUUGACUUUUCAUCUUUAAGAUCAUUAUAUCUAUGGGACAAUAUACUCACAGGAACGAUUGAUAUUAAAAGAGUAUCGAAACUUGGAAAUUUGGAAUUUCUUGAUUUAAGUCUUAAUGACUUCGGCAAUAGUACCCUAUCAUCCAUUGGUGAUCUUUCAUCUUUAAAAGAAUUACAUCUGGAUGAAUGUGGAUUGACAGGAAUAUUCGAUAUUCAAAAAUGGGAUGCUUUGGGCAGCUUAAAGGUACUGAGCCUACGAAGAAAUCAAAUUACCAAAGUUGUGGACUCAAGAGAUGUCAAAAUCAUUAGGAAUUUGAGCUCUCUUUUCCUUGAUGACAAUAAUUGGAUUGGAAGAAGCAGCAUUCAGCUAGAAUUAUUAGGGGCAUACCCAUUUCUCAAGACCCUUUCUCUAACGAAUAAUAGCUUCAAAGGAGCGAUAUUUGCUCAAGAGCUGGGUAAUUUGACAAGCGUGGAAGAGUUGUUCCUGGAUUAUUCCUCACUUGAUGAACAGUCUUUUAAGAGCCUUGGAGCGUUGCCUUCUCUUAAUGUUUUGUCUAUGUAUGCCCUCAAUGCUACCCUACCCACUGAAGGCUUGCUGAAUUUCAAAAAUUUGGUGUAUUUGGAUUUGAGUUUUUCCACUCUCCACAACAACUUCUUGAAAGACAUUGGAAAGAUAUCAUCACUUAAGAUUUUAUUAUUGUCGGGAUGUCAACUAAGUGGAACCAUACCUGCUGCCAAAGGUAAGAUCCUUUUAAUCCUUCUCUGUCACAAACAUGGUUAAUUACAAAAAAGGAUUUUUUUAAUUUUUUUUAUACCUACUUUAAUAUUUGAUAAAAUGAUAAGCACUUUAAAGAUAAAUGCUUUAAUUUUUUGAAUUUUUUUUUACUAGACCUUGUCCACCGUUAACCCAAAAUAUAAGAAGUAUGAUGUGACCCACUUAUUAAAUAUAUGGGUUCCAUAUGUAUGUGUUUUGGAUUCAUGAUGAACUGAAUCUAAGCAAUGUUGUGUUGAUGUAACUGUUUGCAGUAAAUGAAAUAUAUAUAUUUUUUUAUUUUUUUACUAAAAAUUGUUAAAUUUAAUUUUUUUCUUUUUAGGUUUUGUAUUAUUUGCAAACUCAAGUCAUUUUAGACAUUUUUAUCUUAUUAGAUUGCAUUGUCCUAUUAACAUAAUUAUCGAUAUUAAAAUAUUUUC